ACCAUGGAGAGAUUGAUCGUGGCUCAGGAUGAACGCUGGCGGUAUGAUUUAUACAUGCAAGUCG
rnacentral:rRNA from 1 species